rnacentral:rRNA from 2 species
GAGUUUGAUCCUGGCUCAGAGCGAACGCUGGCGGCACGCCUAACACAUGCAAGUCGAGCGAGAAAGUGACUUCGGUUGCGAGUAAAGCGGCGAACGGGUGAGUACAACGUGGAUAAUCUACCCUGAGGUUCGGGACAACCCCGAGAAAUCGGGGCUAAUACCGGAUAAGACCACAGUAUCCAAGGAUACAGCGGUAAAAGAUUUAUCGCCUCUGGAUGAGUCCACGCCCCAUCAGGUAGUUGGUAAGGUAAAGGCUUACCAAGCCUAAGACGGGUAGUCGGCCUUAGCGGGUGAACGGCCACAUGGGGACUGAGACACGGCCCUGACUCCUACGGGAGGCAGCAGUGGGGAAUAUUGGGCAAUGGGCGAAAGCCUGACCCAGCGAUGCCGUGUGAGGGAUGAAGGCCUUCGAGUUGUAAACCUCUUUUCUCAGGGAAGAGAGAGGACGUCACCUGAGGAAUAAGUCAUGGCUAACUACGUGCCAGCAGCAGCGGUAAUACGUAGGUGGCAAGCGUUGUCCGGAAUUACUGGGCGUAAAGGGUCCGUAGGCGGUUCGGUCAGUCUUCUGUGAAAGCUCCAGGCUCAACUUGGAGUCGUCGGGAGAAACUGCCGAACUAGAGACUGUCAGAGGCAGGUGGAAUUCCCGGUGUAGUGGUGAAAUACGUAGAUAUCGGGAGGAACACCAGUGGCGAAAGCGGCCUGCUGGGACAGUUCUGACGCUAAGGGACUAAAGCGUGGGGAGCGAACCGGAUUAGAUACCCUGGUAGUC